rnacentral:rRNA from 1 species
CCUACGGGCGGCAGCAGUGAGGAAUAUUGGUCAAUGGACGAGAGUCUGAACCAGCCAAGUAGCGUGAAGGAUGACUGCCCUAUGGGUUGUAAACUUCUUUUAUAUGGGAAUAAAACGUUCCACGUGUGGGAUUUUGUAUGUACCAUAUGAAUAAGGAUCGGCUAACUCCGUGCCAGCAGCCGCGGUAAUACGGAGGAUCCGAGCGUUAUCCGGAUUUAUUGGGUUUAAAGGGAGCGUAGGUGGAUUGUUAAGUCAGUUGUGAAAGUUUGCGGCUCAACCGUAAAAUUGCAGUUGAAACUGGCAGUCUUGAGUACAGUAGAGGUGGGCGGAAUUCGUGGUGUAGCGGUGAAAUGCUUAGAUAUCACGAAGAACUCCGAUUGCGAAGGCAGUUCACUGGACUGCAACUGACACUGAGGCUCGAAAGUGUGGGUAUCAAACAGGAUUAGAUACCCGGGUAUC